CCGACGGUACCCGGGUCUCGUGAUAGGCUGACGGACAGCCUGGAGACGCUCGGGGCCUAAUCCCCGGGGCCGGGAAUGUGACCCACCUUUGUGACAGAACAGAUUGUAGGGAUGCGAUUAGCUUUGAGACUGGGUGGGGCGGGGAUAGUCCGAAUUAUCCAGGUGCGCCUAAUGUAAUCAACGGCCCUUAUAAAGAGGAAGCAGGCGGCAGGCGGCAGUUAAGAACGCAGCUGUGGUGGCGGCGGCAACAACAUCGACGACGGUGACAGAGACCGAGGAAACGUUAGAUGGCUGACUUUUUGAAAGGGCUGCCUGUCUACAACAAAAGCAAUUUUAGUAGCUUCCAUGCCAACUGUCUGUGCAAAGCCUCGAACCGACGUCCGCCAGUCUACCUGCCCACUCAGGAGUACCCGUCUGAACAGAUAAUUGUGACAGAAAAAACAAACAUUCUUUUGCGCUACCUACAACAGCAACGGGACAAAAAGAAUGCCGCCAAGAAGAAAGACCAGGAGCAAGUGAACCUCGAGGCCGAGAGCUGGGCGUCCCCGUGCAAGAUCCCACGGAUCUACAGCCAGGACUGGGACGACUGGGACGAGGACCCUUGAGACUCACGGCCCCACUCAGACGCCUCCUGCGCUGUCUGCUCCUCGCCUGCCCGCCGGCCUGCCCACGCCCCACCGUUCACACCAUUUCCAAUAUGAUAAAGCCAAUGUGUUUAUUUUCCUUGUGUUUUUAUUGAUGCUGUAAACUUACCAACUUAUGAUUAAAGGGAUGUCAGACCC